rnacentral:rRNA from 1 species
GAUGAACGCUAGCGGCAGGCUUAGCACAUGCAAGUCGAGAGGCAGCACAGGUAGCAAUACUGGGUGGCGACCGGCGCAAGGGUGCGUAACGCGUGAGCAACAUGCCCGUAUCAGGGGGAUAAUCCAUGGAAACGUGGUCUAAUACCCCAUAGUAAGUUUUUGAGGCAUCUCAAGGAUUUUAAAGCUUUGGUGGAUACGGAUUGGCUCGCGUGACAUUAGCUGGAUGGUAGGGUAACGGCUUACCAUGGCUACGAUGUCUAGGGGUUCUGAGAGGAAGGUCCCCCACACUGGAACUGAGACACGGUCCAGACUCCUACGGGAGGCAGCAGUGAGGAAUAUUGGACAAUGGAUGGAAAUCUGAUCCAGCCAUGCCGCGUGCAGGAAGACGGCCCUAUGGGUUGUAAACUGCUUUUGUAUGGGAGCAAUAAGAUCUACGUGUAGAUUGAUGAGAGUACCAUACGAAUAAGCACCGGCUAACUCCG